AGGGUGAGGGUUUAGUAAGUGUUGUGAUUUAUUGGAAGAAUUGAAUUAGUGGAAGAUUUCCAUUGGUAUGAUGUGUAUUCGACUUAUGAUUUAGAGUUGAGGGUGAGACCCUCGCGAUUCCAUGUGAUUUGAUAUGUUUGAACCAGGCUGAGUACCGCAGUGGAAGUUAUAUCAGGAUGGGACCCUUGUGAUUGUUCAUAUGCUUUAAUUAUUUCCUUGUUAUAUUGUUUUGUAGGUUAGUAUUGAUAGAGAGUUGUGCAUGUCGGGCUUGUUUGGUAGUUUUCUUUUGUGUUUCUAUUUUCAUAUUCAGUCAAUUUUGUUCGGUGCUUCUUGAGUUUUAGCUUACGGGGUGUGUACCUGGUGGUGUUAGUUGUGACUUGUUGAUUCGGGUGUAUAGUUAAGAGGUCUUCGUGUUUCUUGCAUCGUUUCCAGUGUUGUGGAGAUUUGAACAGGGUUCUAACAUAUAUGAGGCUAAUUACCGGUGAUGGUUUUGAUUACGGGCAACUAUUAUGAUCAGAAAUGUUAUUAUGGGCCUAUGUGUGGUGUGUCUUAUUGUGUGGUCGUACCUUGUGGGUGUAGGCAUGAGUUGUUACAGCUGGUUAAGACUGAUAUCGGUUAUGGAUUUAGAAUCGGGUCUUUUGAAGACAAAUAGAAGGUGAGAAUUUUGACUCUAAGGCUUAUCGGUGUUGAUAGAAAGGAUAAAUUACAGUUGGGAUGAUGUCGUUAGGCUUAUGUGGAUUGGGGUGACGUGGGGUCCCCACGCGGGUGUAUAUUGAAUAUGUGCUUUUAGUGAUUGAAGACUUCGAGGCGAUUCUUAGCACGUUCGAGUACGAACGUUUGUUUAAGAGGGGAAGGAUGUAACGACCCGGUCGGUCGUUUUGAGAAUUUAAAUCCCGUCCGGCGGCAUAAGGCCCUGAAUAGCUUCGUAUUAUGUGUAUUGACUUGCGUGCAUGGUUGAAUUCGGUUACCGGAUGUUUCAGAGUGAUUUGGGACACUUAGUCCCUAAAACGGAAGCUUAAGUGUUAGGAUUUUUGACCGUAGUCGGAACUAUGUGAAGACGACUCCGGAAUGGAGUUCCAUCGGUUCCAUUAGCUCCGAUGGGUGAUUUUGGACUUAGGAGCGUGUCCGGACUGUAAAUCCGAGGCGUGUAGCUGAUUUAGGCUUGAAAUGGCGAAAGUUGAAUUUUUGGAUAUUUGGACCGGAAGUGGACUUUUUGAUAUCGGGGUCGGAAUGCGAUUCCGAGAGUUGGAACAGCUUCGUUAUAUUAUUUGGGACUUUUCUGCAAAAUUUGACGUCAUUCCGGGUUGAUUUGAUAGGUUUCGGUGCGGGUUUUAGUAGUUGAAAGAUUUGAAGUUCGAUUCAUGGUGCGAUUCGUAGUUUCAACAUUGUUUGAUGUGAUUUGAGACCUCGAGCGGGUCCGUGUUAGGGUAUAGAAUUUGUUGGUAUGUUUGGACAGGGUCCCGAGGACCCCGGGUGUUUUUCGGACGAGUUGCGGAUGAUUUCCAUGGUUUUGGGAGAGGUCUGAGUUCUGGUGUAAUCGCACCUCCGGACCUUCGGUGUAGGUGUGAAGAUGGAGGCGCAGGUGCGAGAAGAGCUGGACUUGGCAGUCUCCGCAGGUGCGGAGAAUUUGUGCGUAUCAGCGGACUCGCACGUGCGGAGAUGGAAGCACAGAUGCGAGAAUUGAAAGUUGGCCUAGGCUUGCAGGUGCGAGGAAGUUCCGCAUUUGCGAUGCCCGCGGAUACGCAGAAGGCUCGCAUGUGCGGAGACUGUGGGAGUUAGUGACUUCCGCUGGUGCGACUGAUUAGACCGCAGGUGCGGUAGGCGCAGGUGCGAGAAAUGGUCGCAGGUGCGAGAAUCGCUGGGCAGAAAGGGGUUGGAAUCCAGGGUUAGUUCAUUUUCACUCCAUUUUUUAUUUUUAGCUCGGGAGAAGGCGAUUCUUUGAGGUAUUUUCAGAGGAAUCUUGUGGGUAACGAUUUUUUUACUCGAAUUUGGUUUUAUUGCAUUAAUCUAUAGUUGUU
rnacentral:lncRNA from 1 species